GGGGGCUGCGCGUGCUAUAAUGCAGUCGAGCGGACUGAUGGGAGCUUGCUCCCAUCAGUCAGCGGCGGACGGGUGAGUAACACGUGGGUAACCUGCCUGUAAGACUGGGAUAACUCCGGGAAACCGGGGCUAAUACCGGAUAACUCAUUUCCUCGCAUGAGGAAAUGUUGAAAGAUGGCUUCUUGCUUUCCCUUACAAAGGGACCCGCGGCGCAUUACCUAGUUGGGGAGGUAACGGUUCACCAAGGCAACAAUGCGUACCCAACCUGAAAGGGGGAUCGGCCACCCUGGGACUGAAACACGGCCCAAACUCCUACGGGAGGCAGCAGUAGGGAAUCUUCCGCAAGGGACAAAAGUCUGACGAACCACCCCCCCGGGAGUGAUGAAGGUUUUCGAAUCGUAAAACUCUGUUGUUAGGGAAAAACAAGUACCGUUCGAAUAGGGGGGUACCUUGACGGUACCUAACCAAAAAGCCACGGUUAACUACUUGCCACCACCCGCGGUAAUACGUAGGUGGCAAGCGUUGUCCGGAAUUAUUGGGCGUAAAGCGCGCGCAGGUGGUUUCUUAAGUCUGAUGUGAAAGCCCACGGUUCACCCGUGAAGGGUCAUUGAAAACUGGGAAACUUGAUUGCAGAAAAGGAAAGUGAAAUUCCAAGUGUAGCGUUGAAUUGCGUAAAUAUUUGAAGGAACACCAUUGCCGAAGGCGACUUUCUGGUCUGUAACUGACACUGAGGCGCGAAGGCGUGGGGGAGCAAACAGGAUAAGAUACCCUGUUAGUCCACGCCGUAAACGAUGAUUGCUAGGUGUAAGAGGGUUUCCGCCCUUUAGUGCUGCAGCUACGGCAUUAGGCACUCGCCUGGGGAGUACGGUCGCAGACUGAACUCAAAGAUGACGGGGCCGCACAGCGUGAGCAUGUGUAUCGAGCACGCGAGACUACAGUCUGACAUCUCUGACACCUAGAGAUAGCUUCCCUCGGGACGAUGACAGUGUGCAUGUGUCGUCAGCUCGUCUGA
rnacentral:rRNA from 1 species